rnacentral:lncRNA from 1 species
UAAGUUUUACUAUGUCCACUGGGGUCAAGUUGCUGAGAAAACCAACCCAUCCCAUUAGCCUAGUAGUUAGUGCUGGCAGAUGAAGCUUUCUGGAAAGCUGAUGAGCCACAAGGUGUGUGGAUCUUGAGACUCGCUGGAUGUCCGCCSUUGCCGGUUUCCUGCCUUUUGAAGUGCUUUCAUGUUGCUCUGGAAAGGAUUAGAGCAAAGCUUUGGUUUUAUUGGGCUGCAGGUUCACCACUGAUGUGGUCCCAAAACACUUGUGCUCAGAAACAUGGUUAUAGCGAAG